GGGGAAUCAUGGACAAUUAGCAUGCAACAUAAGCAUUGAAAAUGCAUGUUAGGAUGGUGCCAAACCAAGCAACAAAUCAAGCUAAACAUGCAACAAAUAGUCUAAGUGUUCAAAGCAAAUCCAAGGAGCAUUGAAAUACACUUGCAAGACUAAACAUG